rnacentral:rRNA from 1 species
GUCCACUCCCUAAACGAUGUCAACUAGUUGUCGGGGAAGUUAUUCCUUGGUAACGAAGCUAACGCGUGAAGUUGACCGCCUGGGGAGUACGGCCGCAAGGUUAAAACUCAAAGGAAUUGACGGGGACCCGCACAAGCGGUGGAUUAUGUGGAUUAAUUCGAUGCAACGCGAAAACCUUACCUACCCUUGACAUGUCAGGAACCUCGCAGAGAUGUGAGGGUGCCCGAAAGGGAACCUGAACACAGGUGCUGCAUGGCUGUCGU